rnacentral:lncRNA from 1 species
GUAUCGUGUUAUUCUCUAAAGAAGUGUCAUUAAAUAGCUAUUUUAUCCAACAGGUAGCUCCUUGAACAAGGAAGCAAAAUUUAUUCACAUUCAAGAUUAUCUGAUUUUUAUAACUAAAAUCAACAAAACAUGUAUCUCUGAGGCCUCCUAGUAACAAGAAGAGUAAGGGGUCAGUGUGGUGUAUUCCAAUUAUACCAUUGUUUCCUGCUUCCAGUAGUUCCUGGAGUAGCCAAAAUCAAAUAUUUCUUAUGGAAAUAUUCCCAAUGCAUCUGAAGUGAGUUCAC